rnacentral:rRNA from 1 species
UACGUAGGUGGCAAGCGUUGUCCGGAUUUAUUGGGCGUAAAGGGAGCGCAGGCGGUGAUUUAAGUCUGAUGUGAAAGCCCACGGCUCAACCGUGGAAUGGCAUUGGAAACUGGGUCACUUGAGUGCAGAAGAGGAAAGCGGAAUUCCAUGUGUAGCGGUGAAAUGCGUAGAGAUAUGGAGGAACACCAGUGGCGAAAGCGGCUCUUUGGCUCGCAACUGACGCUGAGGCGCGAAAGCGUGGGGAGCAAACAGG